rnacentral:rRNA from 1 species
CCUACGGGAGGCUGCAGUCGAGAAUCAUUCACAAUGGGGGAAACUCUGAUGGUGCGACGCCGCGUGGGGGAAUGAAGGUCUUCGGAUUGUAAACCCCUGUCAUGUGGGAGCAAAUUAAAAAGAUAGUACCACAAGAGGAAGAGACGGCUAACUCUGGGCCCGCAGCCGCGGUAAUACAGAGGUCUCAAGCGUUGUUCGGAAUCACCGGGCGUAAAGCGUGCGUAGGCUGUUUCGUAAGUCGUGUGUGAAAGGCGCGGGCUCAACCCGCGGACGGCACAUGAUACUGCGUGACUAGAGUAAAGGAAGGGGAACCGGAAUUCUCGGUGUAGCAGUGAAAUGCGUAGAUAUCGAGAGGAACACUCGUGGCGAAGGCGGGUUCCUGGACAUUAACUGACGCUGAGGCACGAAGGCGAGGGGAGCGAAAGGGAUUAGAUACCCUUGUAGUC